rnacentral:tRNA from 1 species
UAUUUUCUCUUUAAAUCUUUUAAAAAGGGAUUUAUAAAGAAGUAUUAAAUUUUUAAUUUAAAUAAGAAAAA